rnacentral:rRNA from 1 species
UACACUCCUACGGGAGGCAGCAGUGGGGAAUUUUGGACAAUGGGCGAAAGCCUGAUCCAGCAAUGCCGCGUGAGUGAAGAAGGCCUUCGGGUUGUAAAGCUCUUUUGUCAGGGAAGAAACGGUGAGAGCUAAUAUCUUUUGCUAAUGACGGUACCUGAAGAAUAAGCACCGGCUAACUACGUGCCAGCAGCUGCGGUAAUACGUAGGGUGCAAGCGUUAAUCGGAAUUACUGGGCGUAAAGCGUGCGCAGGCGGUUUUGUAAGUCUGAUGUGAAAUCCCCGGGCUCAACCUGGGAAUUGCAUUGGAGACUGCAAGGCUAGAAUCUGGCAGAGGGGGGUAGAAUUCCACGUGUAGCAGUGAAAUGCGUAGAUAUGUGGAGGAACACCGAUGGCGAAGGCAGCCCCCUGGGUCAAGAUUGACGCUCAUGCACGAAAGCGUGGGGAGCAAACAGGAUUAGAUACCCGUGUAGUCCCAU